AUUGAACGCUGGCGGCAUGCCUUACACAUGCAAGUCGAACGGUAACGCGGGGCAACCUGGCGACGAGUGGCGAACGGGUGAGUAAUGUAUCGGAACGUGCCCAGUUGUGGGGGAUAACUGCUCGAAAGAGCAGCUAAUACCGCAUACGACCUGAGGGUGAAAGCGGGGGAUCGCAAGACCUCGCGCAAUUGGAGCGGCCGAUAUCAGAUUAGGUAGUUGGUGGGGUAAAGGCCUACCAAGCCUACGAUCUGUAGCUGGUCUGAGAGGACGACCAGCCACACUGGGACUGAGACACGGCCCAGACUCCUACGGGAGGCAGCAGUGGGGAAUUUUGGACAAUGGGGGCAACCCUGAUCCAGCCAUGCCGCGUGCGGGAAGAAGGCCUUCGGGUUGUAAACCGCUUUUGUCAGGGAAGAAAUCCUUUGAACUAAUACUUCGGAGGGAUGACGGUACCUGAAGAAUAAGCACCGGCUAACUACGUGCCAGCAGCCGCGGUAAU
rnacentral:rRNA from 1 species